GAGGAAAGUCCGGGCUUCACAGAGCAGGAUGCCGGCUAACGGCCGGGCACCGUGAGGUGACGGAAAGUGCAACAGAGAACAGACCGCCUAAGUCCGGGGCAACCCGGGCCGGCAAGGGUGAAACGGCGAGGUAAGAGCUCACCGCGGACGUGGUAACACGGACGGCACGGCAAACCCCAUCCGAAGCAAGGCCAAAUAGGGAAGCGCAUGGCGUGGCUCGCGCCGCUUCCGGGUAGGCUGCUUGAGCGUACUGGCAACAGUGCGCCUAGAGGAAUGGUUGUCCACGACAGAACCCGGCUUA
rnacentral:RNase_P_RNA from 1 species